GAGUUUGAUCCUGGCUCAGAACGAACGCUGGCGGCGUGCCUAACACAUGCAAGUCGAACGUGAUCCAGAGCUUGCUCUGGUGAAAGUGGCGCACGGGUGAGUAACGCGUGGAUAACCUACCCUGGUAUCCGGGAUAACAUUCCGAAAGGGGUGCUAAUACCGGAUAAGCCCACGGGCUCUUUGGAGCUUGCGGGAAAAGGUGGCCUCUAUUUAUAAGCUACUGUAUCAGGAUGGGUCCGCGUACCAUUAGCUAGUUGGCGGUGUAACGGACCACCAAGGCGACGAUGGUUAGCUGGUCUGAGAGGAUGAUCAGCCMCACUGGAACUGAGACACGGUCCAGACUCCUACGGGAGGCAGCAGUGGGGAAUUUUGCGCAAUGGGGGAAACCCUGACGCAGCAACGCCGCGUGAGUGAUGAAGGCCUUUGGGUCGUAAAGCUCUGUCAGAGGGGAAGAAAUGAUAUAGUGCUAAUACCACUUUAUCUUGACGGUACCCUCAAAGGAAGCACCGGCUAACUCCGUGCCAGCAGCCGCGGUAAUAC
rnacentral:rRNA from 1 species